CCCGCCUCCAGUCACGCCCCCCACGCUGCUCCGUCAGCCCCGCCUCCGGUCACGCCCCUCACGCUCCUCCCGUUUGGCCCCGCCUCUAGCCCAGGCGGAGGUUGAGUCCGGCCUACGAGAGGAGACGCCGACGUCAGCGCGCCGGCACUGGGCUGGCGGAAGGGACGCCGCGUCGGGAGCGUGGGCUCCGCCGUGAGCCGCGGGGCCGCGGCGCUGCCUGGUGGCCUUUCGUCGAGCCAAGCCCGCUUCCCGAGGCGGCCAGUCGCCGCCCGCCCGCGCCUGCGCAGCGCCCGGGGCCAAGCAGGCCACGCCGGCGGCCAUGGCGCACCGCUGCUUGCGGCUGUGGGGCCGGGGCAGCUGCUGGCCCCGCGGCCUUCCGCUGCUCCUCGUGCCUGGCCGCGUGGGCCAGGGCGAACGGCCCUGCCUCCGGACGCUUUAUCGAUAUGCUACAACUCAAGCAAGGGACAGCAGAAAUUCUCUUUUGACAGAUGUAAUUGCUUCUUAUCAAAGAUUCUGUUCUCGACCGCCAAAAGGAUUUGAAAAAUACUUUCCUAAUGGAAAAAAUGGAAAAAAAGCUAGUGAACCUAAAGAAGUUAUGGGAGAAAAAAAAGAAUCAAAGCCAGCUGCUACCGCACGCUCUUCUGGAGGAGGAGGUGGUGGUGGAAAACGAAGUGGCAAGAAAGAUGAUUCUCACUGGUGGUCCAGGUUCCAGAAGGGUGACUUUCCAUGGGAUGACAAGGAUUUCAGGAUGUACUUCCUCUGGACUACUCUUUUCUGGGGUGGAGUCAUGUUUUACUUCUUGUUCAAGAGAUCCGGGAGAGAAAUCACUUGGAAGGACUUUGUCAAUAACUAUCUUUCAAAAGGAGUAGUAGACAGACUGGAAGUCGUCAACAAGCGUUUUGUUCGCGUGAACUUUAUACCAGGAAAAACUCCUGUUGAUGGGCAAUACAUUUGGUUUAAUAUUGGCAGUGUGGACACCUUUGAACGGAAUCUGGAAACUUUACAGCAGGAAUUGGGCAUAGAAGGAGAAAACCGGGUGCCUGUUGUCUACAUUGCUGAAAGUGAUGGCUCUUUUCUGCUGAGCAUGCUGCCCACGGUACUUAUCAUCGCCUUCUUGCUCUACACCAUCAGAAGAGGGCCUGCUGGCAUUGGCCGGACAGGCCGAGGGAUGGGUGGACUCUUCAGUGUCGGAGAAACCACUGCCAAGGUCUUAAAGGAUGAGAUUGAUGUGAAGUUCAAAGAUGUGGCUGGCUGUGAGGAGGCCAAGCUAGAGAUCAUGGAAUUUGUGAAUUUCUUGAAAAACCCAAAGCAGUAUCAAGACCUAGGAGCAAAAAUCCCAAAGGGUGCCAUUCUCACUGGUCCUCCAGGCACUGGGAAGACACUGCUAGCUAAGGCAACAGCUGGAGAAGCCAAUGUCCCCUUCAUCACCGUUAGUGGAUCCGAGUUUUUGGAGAUGUUUGUUGGUGUGGGCCCAGCUAGAGUCCGAGACUUAUUUGCCCUUGCUCGGAAGAAUGCCCCUUGCAUCCUCUUCAUUGAUGAAAUUGAUGCAGUGGGAAGGAAGAGAGGAAGAGGCAACUUCGGAGGGCAGAGUGAGCAGGAGAACACACUCAAUCAGCUGCUGGUGGAGAUGGAUGGUUUUAAUACAACAACAAAUGUCGUCAUUUUGGCCGGCACCAAUCGACCAGAUAUCCUGGACCCUGCGCUGCUUAGGCCAGGGCGCUUCGACAGGCAGAUCUUUAUUGGACCACCAGACAUAAAAGGAAGAGCUUCUAUUUUCAAAGUUCACCUCCGACCACUAAAACUGGACAGUAGCCUGGAGAAGGAGAAAUUGGCGAGAAAACUGGCGUCUUUAACUCCUGGGUUUUCAGGUGCUGAUGUUGCCAAUGUCUGUAAUGAAGCUGCGUUGAUUGCUGCAAGGCACCUUUCAGAUUCCAUAAAUCAGAAACACUUUGAACAGGCAAUUGAGCGAGUGAUUGGUGGCUUAGAGAAGAAAACGCAGGUUCUGCAGCCCGAGGAGAAGAAGACUGUGGCAUACCACGAAGCAGGCCAUGCGGUUGCCGGCUGGUAUCUGGAGCAUGCAGACCCGCUUUUAAAGAGGUACCAGGAUAAUUCAAGGGGGAGGAAUUGCCUUAUCUACGGGUGGUUCUGGCAACAGAGAAUUCACAGGAAAAAAGGUAUCCAUCAUCCCACGUGGCAAAGGACUAGGUUAUGCUCAGUAUUUACCAAAAGAACAAUACCUCUAUACCAAAGAGCAGCUCUUGGAUAGAAUGUGUAUGACUUUAGGUGGUCGAGUCUCAGAAGAAAUCUUCUUUGGAAGAAUUACAACUGGUGCUCAAGAUGACUUGAGAAAAGUAACUCAGAGUGCAUAUGCCCAAAUUGUUCAGUUUGGCAUGAGUGAAAAGGUUGGGCAAAUCUCCUUUGACCUCCCACGUCAGGGGGACAUGGUAUUGGAGAAACCUUACAGUGAAGCCACUGCAAGAUUGAUAGAUGACGAAGUACGAAUACUUAUUAAUGAUGCUUAUAAAAGAACAGUAGCUCUUCUCACAGAAAAGAAAGCCGAUGUGGAGAAGGUUGCUCUUCUGUUGUUAGAAAAAGAAGUAUUAGAUAAGAAUGAUAUGGUUGAACUUUUGGGCCCCAGACCAUUUGCAGAAAAAUCUACCUAUGAAGAAUUUGUGGAAGGCACUGGCAGCCUGGAUGAGGACACCUCGCUUCCAGAAGGCCUUAAGGACUGGAACAAGGAGCGGGAAAAGGAGAAAGAAGAGCCCCCGGGUGAGAAAGUUGCCAACUAGACGCCCAGAUGGAGGCCAUCUCAGUCUGUCCACUGUGGUUUCAGCUGGUGCGUUAUUUCAGCUCUGGCUUUCAGAAGAACGGGAAUACUGCGCUGAUUUUAGCCAGCCACUGGCCCAGCUGAAAUGAUGGGGAGGAGUCCUUAAUCCUUUCAGCCUUGGAGGUCACAGUGGGUGGCAGGUGACUUUCCAGAGGCCUUGAGGGAGAUGCAUACUGUCCCACAGCCUCGUUGGGCUCUCAGAUGGGCUGGAAAGAUUGAGCCCAGAGCAGUCAGGCUGGACCCUGUGGCAGGGAUCGUUGCAUUGGGCUCUUGGUGUGUGGGAAGGGAUGCUUUCUCUUUGUCGCCCACUGUUCAUUCCUGUUUCUCCUCAGUUCCCCUGUGCACUUGGGCUGUGAAAUUAAACUGGAGUCCUGAUAAGAACAUUUUAAUUUGAUUUGUUAUUUUAAAGAUUGAAUCCAGAUCACUUGUUGCUGUCUUAAUGGGAUGGUUUUCUACAGAGAGCUGUAACAUAUUUAAAAAUAUGAAUGUAUUAUGUAAAUAUGGCUUCUUUACAUCAAAAAUAAAAUGUCAACACUGUACGUUUUUUCCU